CGAUGCACUGUGUCCCCGCAGACCACCUCCUCCACCCUGAAGGGGGCCAUCCAGCUGGGCAUCGGCUACACCGUGGGCAACCUGAGCUCCAAGCCCGAGCGGGAUGUGCUCAUGCAGGACUUCUACGUGGUGGAGAGCAUCUUCUUCCCCAGUGAAGGCAGCAACCUCACCCCCGCCCACCACUUCCAGGACUUCCGGUUCAAGACCUACGCGCCCGUGGCCUUCCGCUACUUCCGGGAGCUCUUUGGGAUCCGGCCUGACGACUACUUGUACUCCCUGUGCAACGAGCCACUCAUUGAGCUGUCCAACCCGGGCGCCAGCGGCUCCCUGUUCUACGUCACCAGUGACGACGAGUUCAUCAUCAAGACUGUCAUGCACAAGGAGGCCGAGUUCCUGCAGAAGCUGCUGCCCGGCUACUACAUGGUGCGCGGCCUGCGCAGCCCC
rnacentral:lncRNA from 1 species